GGAGGCGUGGCGGAACAGGCAUACGCGCCGGACUUAAAAUCUGGUUCUUUGUGGGUUCGACUCCCACCGCCUCCA
rnacentral:tRNA from 1 species